CCCUUAGAUGUUCUGGGCUGCACGCGCGCUACACUGGUGCGUUCAGCGAGUUUAGCACCUUAACAGAUAUGUUUGGGUAAUCUUCUGAAAACGCACCGUGAUGGGGAUCGAUUAUUGUAAUUAUUAAUCGUCAACGAGGAAUUCCUAGUAAGUGUGAAUCAUCAGUUCGCGCUGAUUACGUCCCUGCCCUUUGUACACACCGCCCGUCGCUGCUACCGAUUGAGUGGUCAGGUGAAUUAUUCGGACCGGUGGACUGUGGGGAAACCCGCGGCCUGCUGGGAAGUCUUGUGAACCUUAUCACUUAGAGGAAGCAGAAGUCGUAACA
rnacentral:rRNA from 1 species